rnacentral:rRNA from 1 species
GAUGAACGCUGGCGGCGUGCCUAAUACAUGCAAGUCGAGCGAACGGACGAGAAGCUUGCUUCUCUGAUGUUAGCGGCGGACGGGUGAGUAACACGUGGAUAACCUACCUAUAAGACUGGGAUAACUUCGGGAAACCGGAGCUAAUACCGGAUAAUAUUUUGAACCGCAUGGUUCAAAAGUGAAAGACGGUCUUGCUGUCACUUAUAGAUGGAUCCGCGCUGCAUUAGCUAGUUGGUAAGGUAACGGCUUACCAAGGCAACGAGGCAUAGCCGACCUGAGAGGGUGAUCGGCCACACUGGAACUGAGACACGGUCCAGACUCCUACGGGAGGCAGCAGUAGGGAAUCUUCCGCAAAGGGCGAAAGCCUGACGGAGCAACGCCGCGUGAGUGAUGAAGGUCUUCGGAUCGUAAAACUCUGUUAUUAGGGAAGAACAUAUGUGUAAGUAACUGUGCACAUCUUGACGGUACCUAAUCAGAAAGCCACGGCUAACUACGUG